AGCAGUCGCCACGGGAAUACGUAGGGUGCAAGCGUUAAUCGGAAUUACUGGGCGUAAAGCGUGCGCAGGCGGUUAUAUAAGACAGAUGUGAAAUCCCCGGGCUCAACCUGGGAACUGCAUUUGUGACUGUAUAGCUAGAGUACGGCAGAGGGGGAUGGAAUUCCGCGUGUAGCAGUGAAAUGCGUAGAUAUGCGGAGGAACACCGAUGGCGAAGGCAAUCCCCUGGGCCUGUACUGACGCUCAUGCACGAAAGCGUGGGGAGCAAACAGGAUUAGAUACCCCCGUAGUCCCUGUCUCUUAUAA
rnacentral:rRNA from 1 species